ACUAAACCGUCAAACAAAAUGGUGUGCUGGUUUGUGCGGCCGGCGGUCGUUACAAGUGGUGUGACAUGUUGGACGUAUUAUUUUUAGUUGUUCAUCAGAUCCGCCACCACCAACGCUAUUAUUCGGUGUGGUGGUUGUUGCCAGAAUUUUCAUUGUAUGUGGCGGUGGUGACCAGCGGCAGGCAAGUUGUUACAAGUGGUGUGACAUGCUGGACGCAUUAUCUUUAGUUUUUCAUCAGAUCUGUCAUCGCCGUUGUUAUUCGGUGUGGUGGGUGUUGUCGUCUAGUGAUUGUUAACUUUGAUUAAAGGACACCGGCAGUGGUUACUGCCGGAAGGCGGUGGUUAAUGAAGAUGUACCUACUGCUUAUAAAGUGUAAAUAAGCAAUGUUAAAAUGUGUUGUAGCUUAUGCAUAUGUGUUUGUACCAUUAGCCAACCAAGCCAGUUAGGAUAACUGAGCCGGCACUGUAACCGACACUGUAGCAGUCCAAAUUGGGGUUGUUAUAUAGAUAAUUUCACAUAGUAAUCUAAAACUAUCAUUCGAUAAUUUUAAAUGAAA